UGGGGAAUAUUGCGCAAUGGGGGAAACCCUGACGCAGCAACGCCGCGUGAGUGAAGAAGGCCUUAGGGUUGUAAAGCUCUGUCAUAUGGGAAGAUAAUGACGGUACCAUAAGAGGAAGCCACGGCUAACUACGUGCCAGCAGCCGCGGUAAUACGUAGGUGGCGAGCGUUGUCCGGAUUUACUGGGCGUAAAGGAUGCGUAGGCGGAUAUUUAAGUGGGAUGUGAAAUCCCCGAGCUUAACUCGGGGGCUGCAUUCCAAACUGGAUAUCUAGAGUGUCGGAGGGGAAAGUGGAAUUCCUAGUGUAGCGGUGAAAUGCGUAAAGAUUAGGAAGAACACCAGUGGCGAAGGCGACUUUCUGGACGAUAACUGACGCUGAGGCAUGAAAGCGUGGGGAGCAAACAGGAUUAGAUACCCUAGUAGUCCACGCCGUAAACGAUGAAUACUAGGUGUAGGAGGUAUCGACUCCUUCUGUGCCGCAGUUAACACAUUAAGUAUUCCGCCUGGGGAGUACGAUCGCAAGAUUAAAACUCAAAGGAAUGGACGG
rnacentral:rRNA from 1 species